rnacentral:rRNA from 1 species
CGGGGUGCUCGAGUGGCGAACGGGUGAGUAACACGUGGGUGAUCUGCCCUGCACUUCGGGAUAAGCUUGGGAAACUGGGUCUAAUACCGGAUAGGACCAUCGUUUAGUGUCGGUGGUGGAAAGUUUUUUCGGCGUGGGAUGAGCUCGCGGCCUAUCAGCUUGUUGGUGGGGUAAUGGCCUACCAAGGCGUCGACGGGUAGCCGGCCUGAGAGGGUGUACGGCCACAUUGGGACUGAGAUACGGCCCAG